UUAAACAAAUUGGACAACGUACGGCCCCAGCAACUUUAUCGCUGUUAAUUUCAGUUGCUUUGAAUCCAUUUUUUUUCCUCUGCAGCAUUAGUUAAAACACUGUUCCGAAAAAAUCACUCCAUAGCUCAGAGAACCACCAUCCAUCAUUGGUAAAGAAAACAAAUAGUUGAGGGAAUCAAGCUUCACAGCUGGCUCAUCUUUUGUCAGUGGCCACUGGAGAUUGUCACCAACUUUUACCAUGUUAGCAACGAAACACCCUUGUCCAAGAUUCGAGCUAUCGUGAAUUUGCCCUUGGCAAGCUCUAGAGCUUCUCCUUCAUUCAUCAGAUGAACUGUGCAUCCUGGAAUCUGCAACCGAAACUCUUUGUUGAUAGUUUUGGUUUCUGGGUUCUUCUGUUUUGUUAAGAAAGUGAUUUCAGGGCCACCAUGCCGGAAAAUGCCUCCUCUAAUUCUACUCUUGCCUUCUGUCCGAAGAGAAAUUAUUUUGCUAUGAAUGAAAAGGAAGAAGAAAGACAAGAGGCAGAUGAAAUGACACAACGUUAUACCCCAGGUAGAGUUAUUUGUUUCACCUCCUAUGUUGAAAGGCUGUGCUACUUUUGGUGGUGCGGAAUGAGAGCUUGAAAUGGAGUUUUCAUGCAACAGGAACCAGAAGAAUUAAGAUAACCCAACGGGAUGUAAGUUUUCUGUCCAAAACUUAUUUAUUCUUAGGGAGAUGAAAUCCCAAAGAUAAUCUACACUUUUUGUAGCAUUAGAGCAUAGAUCGUUCACAUUUCGGAACAUUAAUACGAUUAAUAGUGGCAAGAAAACAGAGCAUUUUGUCAUAAUAUUCAAGCUUGACAACAAUUUGUGGCUCUGGCGACCAGUUCUUUGAAGCAAUUGAGCAAAAUGGUCAAUUAAGUUCUACAAGAUAAAUACACUCCGCAGGUUAAUAACUCCUAUUUCUAUUCCUUGCUGCAUUCUUUGCUGCAUUCUUAAGCACUCCUGUGGAAACAGAUGUUGCUGGAUUGAUGGCUUUCCGUAUCUUGAAUAUAUUCCAAGCAGCGCACACACAAUGCCCUGCUGUUGCAAACGCAUCCUCAGCUGCCUCCCCUGCGCUAUCUCCAAACCUGUUGCUCAAAAUAGCGAUGAAGAUAGCCAAGGAAAAAUGAACAUGGUAAAGUUUACUCAUUACUGAAUGGAGAAAUAUAAUGCCAAAAGGAGGGAAAAUGAACUUAGUAAAGAAGUGAACUUUUUUCGAGUAAUUAUAUUUAUGAUGUCAAUUGAGAAUUAACUGAAAAUUUAUCUUUAAACUAUGCUUCUU